rnacentral:rRNA from 1 species
AGCUUGCUACCCGCUGACGAGCGGCGGACGGGUGAGUAAUGCAUAGGAAUCUGCCCGAUAGUGGGGGAUAACCUGGGGAAACCCAGGCUAAUACCGCAUACGUCCUACGGGAGAAAGGGGGCUCCGGCUCCCGCUAUUGGAUGAGCCUAUGUCGGAUUAGCUAGUUGGUAAGGUAAUGGCUUACCAAGGCAACGAUCCGUAGCUGGUCUGAGAGGAUGAUCAGCCACAUCGGGACUGAGACACGGCCCGAACUCCUACGGGAGGCAGCAGUGGGGAAUAUUGGACAAUGGGGGCAACCCUGAUCCAGCCAUGCCGCGUGUGUGAAGAAGGCCCUCGGGUUGUAAAGCACUUUCAGCGAGGAAGAACGCCUAUCGGUUAAU